CGACUGCUGUUGCAGCAGCAGCAGCAGCAGCCGCGGCGUUAUCAGUCGGCGCAGGUCCGGGACCCGUCGAAUACCCCGACGACUCGUCCAAUGUCUUUUUCGGGUGCCUCUCCUCGUCGUCGUCGCUCCGGCGGUGGCGGGUGCUGGGUGUCCGAAAGGCGAUCGUGGCGAGCUUCGGCGUACGUCGGGUACCUCGAGCGUACAAGGUAGUACCCGAAAGGUGGUGAACUAUGCCUGGCCAAGAUGAAGCCAGAGGAAACUCUGGUGGAGGUCUGAAGCGGUUCUGACGUGCAAAUCGAUCGUCAGAGC
rnacentral:rRNA from 1 species